rnacentral:lncRNA from 1 species
CUACGAUAGAAGAGAUCAUCUUAGGCCGCGCGCUCAUGAGCGCGCCGUCCGACGGCCGCACGGGCUAGUCGUCGUCGGAGACGACGCCGUGCAGCACGCCAUGGUGAUGAAGCUUCGCGAGACUGGCUGUCGAGCGACGGUUUGCUCGGAUAUGGAAGCUGCGUCGGAGCUGCUGCUAGAGCGAUGGAGAGAAUUCGACUUCGUGGUGGCGGCAGAUACGUUCGGCAGCUUAAAGCUCAAGCGUAUGGAGCUUUUAUGCACGGAGAAAGGACUGAAAUUGGUCGGUUGUAUACUUUUCGACGUAAUAAGCGUUUACCGUUCAAGUUAGGGUUCAGUUAG